rnacentral:rRNA from 1 species
UACGUAGGGUCCGAGCGUUGUCCGGAAUUAUUGGGCGUAAAGGGCUCGUAGGCGGUUCGUCACGUCGGGAGUGAAAACUCGGGGCUUAACCCCGAGCCUGCUUCCGAUACGGGCAGACUAGAGGUAGGCAGGGGAGAGCGGAACUCCUGGUGUAGCGGUGGAAUGCGCAGAUAUCAGGAAGAACACCGGUGGCGAAGGCGGGUCUCUGGGCCGAAAUUGACGCUGAGGAGCGAAAGCGUGGGGAGCAAACAGG